GAUGAACGCUGGCGGCGUGCCUAAUACAUGCAAGUCGAGCGAACAGACGAGGAGCUUGCUCCUCUGACGUUAGCGGCGGACGGGUGAGUAACACGUGGUUAACCUACCUAUAAGACUGGGAUAACUUCGGGAAACCGGAGCUAAUACCGGAUAAUAUAUUGAACCGCAUGGUUCAAUAGUGAAAGACGGUUUUGCUGUCACUUAUAGAUGGAUCCGCGCCGCAUUAGCUAGUUGGUAAGGUAACGGCUUACCAAGGCAACGAUGCGUAGCCGACCUGAGAGGGUGGUCGGCCACACUGGAACUGAGACACGGUCCAGACUCCUACGGGAGGCAGCAGUAGGGAAUCUUCCGCAAUGGGCGAAAGCCUGACGGAGCAACGCCGCGUGAGUGAUGAAGGUCUUCGGAUCGUAAAACUCUGUUAUUAGGGAAGAACAAAUGUGUAAGUAACUAUGCACGUCUUGACGGUACCUAAUCAGAAAGCCACGGCUAACUACGUG
rnacentral:rRNA from 1 species